rnacentral:rRNA from 1 species
GACGAACCGUGCGAACGUUAUUCGGAAUCACUGGGCUUAAAGCGCGUGUAGGCGGGUCGGCACGUCCGUGGCUGAAAGCCCCCGGCUCAACCGGGGAAGUGGCGCGGAUACGGCCGAUCUGGAGGGGGGUAGGGGGACCUGGAACUUCCGGUGGAGCGGUGAAAUGCGUUGAGAUCGGAAGGAACGCCCGUGGCGAAAGCGAGGUCCCGGACCCUUUCUGACGCUGAGACGCGAAAGCCAGGGGAGCGAACGGG